rnacentral:ncRNA from 1 species
GUAACCGGCGAGGUUACAUCUAAAGAUUAUUUGCGGUUGAAUAAUGCGCAAGUACCAAUUACAAAAUUCGGUGCCAACGAACAGGAACCGGAUAUGAGCUGUGAGGAUGGAUGAGCAAGCAAAUCAUUGUGAAGUCCCAAACAUUUUUAAGUAAAUGCAAAAACAGUAGGUCAGACAGUAAUCGAUGGAAAAGAUAUAAU